rnacentral:rRNA from 1 species
GACGAACGCUGGCGGCGUGCUUAACACAUGCAAGUCGAGCGAUGAAGCUCCUUCGGGAGCGGAUUAGCGGCGGACGGGUGAGUAACACGUGGGCAACCUGCCUUAUAGAGAGGAAUAGCCAUUCGAAAGGAUGAUUAAUACCUCAUAAUAUUGUAGCUUCGCAUGGAGCAACAAUCAAAGGAGCAAUCCACUAUAAGAUGGGCCCGCGGCGCAUUAGCUAGUUGGUGAGGUAACGGCUCACCAAGGUGACGAUGCGUAGCCGACCUGAGAGGGUGAUCGGCCACAUUGGGACUGAGACACGGCCCAGACUCCUACGGGAGGCAGCAGUGGGGAAUAUUGCACAAUGGGGGAAACCCUGAUGCAGCAACGCCGCGUGAGUGAUGACGGCCUUCGGGUUGUAAAGCUCUGUCUUCAGGGACGAUAAUGACGGUACCUGAGGAGGAAGCCACGGCUAACUACGUGCCAGCCGCCGCCGUAAAAC